AAAAAGUCCAGAAAAAUAAAAACGACUACAGUUUUACUAUUUCAUUGAUUUUAUUUUUCUGUUUUUUCAAAUUUGCAAUUUGUUGAAUCAAACCUUGACUCAUUGAGUGUUAGAGAUGGUUUGAACUUGGUUUUAAGUUGGGUUUGAAGUUUGCUGAUCAAGUUACGACUCUAUUGAUUUCUGGGUCGAUUUCACUACUUGGUUAUUUGAAUCUAAGGCUGACUUUUGCUACUUCUGUUGUUGAGCCUAGUGAGUCUCAUUUUAUUCUUUGUUUCCUCUCUUAUACCAGAUAUAUUUUGGCCUUUAUGGACAGUACUUAAGUGUAACGUGAAGCAUGACUCUGGAAUAUGAAAAUUGUUGAUUAUUUGCUUUGAAUCUUCUUUUCCUCCUCAUGUUCUGAUUUGUAGUUGUUAAAUUCUGCCUAAGUUAUAUAGUUGUGCCUUUACACAAUGCCUAGCAGCACAAUGAUUGUUAAUGAGAUUAUUCUAGAUGCCCGUAAUCGAUUUGUAUUUGAUAAGGAUUCAUCUUGUUUUUCCAUUUCUGUAGUUAGAUGUUUGGCUUGUAAUAAGUAAAGUCUCAUUAUAGUACCUGAAUCUGGUUUUCCAUAAGAGCUUGAGGAACUCAGUCAAUUAUUUGAUUGCUUUUGUAUUCAUCUUUGUCAAAAGGUGUAUUUCUGUCUAGUUGUUAAAUUCUGCCUAACUUAUAUAGCUGUGCACUUACACAAUGCCUAGCAGCACAUUGAUUGUUAAUGAGAUUAUUCUAGAGGGACGUAAUCGAUUUGUAUUUGAUAAGGAUUCAUCAUGUUUUUCCAAUUCUGUAGUUAGAUGUUUGGCUUGUAAUAAGCGAACUCUCAUUAUAGUGCCUGAAUCUGGUUUGCCAUAAGAACUUGAGGAACUCAGUGAAUUAUUUGAUUGCUUUUGUGUUCACCUUUGUUAAACAGCAUAUUUCUGGCAUUAGGAUCCAUAUUAUUGCAAAUCUCAAUUGAAUGCUACGGCGUAGUGCGCUAUGCUUAAAGGUUUUUAAGAAUUGGAAUGCUUUUGUCAAUUUGAUCAUGAAUAUUAGAAAUGGCUAUCUAGUUAGUAUUUUUCAACAAGUUUCAACUUCUUUGGUGUGAAUGGUUAUCAUAUGAACGUGGUUAACUUAAAAUGGCUUUCAGUUAAAUGCUAAUCGGUGCUUCAACGUUCAGUAACUGUAGGUUUAAUUUUGUGGUCAUUCAAUGUCAGGCUUAGGGAUCUGUAAGGUUUAAACUCUUUUGUCAC
rnacentral:lncRNA from 1 species